AAAAGAAAGUCAUCGCCGGCGUCGUCGCCAUUUUUGCCGGCGAAAUCACAUAUACUUUCUCCCUCACCCAUCUUCAUCUCCGCCGCACACCAUCACUAUUUUCUUUCCUCCUCCAACCUCCACAGUAACAACAACCUAAACCACCGCAAAACCAGAUCUGGCAAAACUUUUCGUAAUCCUCACACCCCAAAUUGCUUACAAAUACAAUUUCACACCAACCUAUGCCGUGAAACUCGUCGAAAUCUACC
rnacentral:lncRNA from 1 species